AAGUCGUAACAAGGUUUCCGUAGGUGAACCUGCGGAAGGAUCAUUAAUGAAUAAACUUGGUUGAGUUGCUGCUGGUUCUUCGGGACAUGUGCACGCUCGCCACUUUUAUAACCACCUGUGCACCUUUUGUAGACUGGAAACGUUUCUCGAGGAAACUCGGAUUGAGGACUGCUGUGCGUAAGCCUGCUGUUCUUGUGUUUCUCAGUCUAUGUUUUUCAUAUACUCCAAAUGUAUGUAACUGAAUGUAUUGCUAGGCCUUUGUGCCUUUAAAACAAAUACAACUUUCAACAACGGAUCUCUUGGCUCUC
rnacentral:misc_RNA from 1 species